ensembl:lncRNA
GUGAUGAUGUAUGAUGAUCUGGCAACCAAUGACAACCAUUUGAACUUGACCAUUUUAAAAAUCACCAAUGGCCUCAUGGUAACAUCCAAUCGCCAUGGUAACAUCCAAUCGCCAUGGUAACAUCCUUGUCCUGUACCUCAGUUCAGAAGGGAGACUGUAUCUUUGAUGUGUCUGGGUGGUUUUAAUAAAUCAUCCACGGCAUCAUUAUUAACGUGACCGUGCUUGAAGAGAUAUUAAAAUUCAUCGUUUGCUUUGAUAUUGUUACCCGUCUACCAAUCACUACCAUUUAUUAUUAUUAUUUUUUUUUUAAACAAGGCUUUUGAAAAGCUCCCUGGUCUUUGUAGUUGAAUCUGUGAAGAGGGGGGAAGGGUUAGUCAUUCAGAAAUAAAUGUCAACACCUAUUUUAUCACACAGAGUCCAUGUCACUUAUUACGUUAAGUCACAUUUUACUCCUGAACUAAUUUACACCUAAACAAAAAGGGUCUGAAUACUAUUUUAGCUUUCGAAUUACUUUUAAAUCUUUAACAUGGUUGCAUUCCACUUUGAGAGACCACAUGAGUUGACUAAUUAAAAUACAUUUGAAUCCCACUUUUUGCAACACAAUAAAAAAUGUGAAGAAAUCCAAAAAAAAAGGGGGGGGUAUGAAUACUUUUGCAAGUCACUGUAGAUGUGUGGACUGCCGUCUGUCUCCUCCACCGCCACUCGUCCCUGGAUUCUCUUUCCCCUCAAACAUAUAGUUUGUCCUAAACAGCACCCUAUACUGCAAAAAGUAGUGCACUAUAUAUAUAUAUAUAGGGAGAUAUGGUGCCGUUUUGAAUGUAGAUUAUGAGCCUUUUCUCCAUUUGAUUUCUUCCUGCGGCCUCUCUCCUUUUGAAAAAAGGUCAAAUCGAGGAGGCGAGGGAGAGGGGAAAGUGGACGAAAAUGCGCUUGAAUGAAAUGAAACUGUCCCCUUUUCCUGUUUCCUGUUCCAUCAGGCGAAUGACGUUUACAGGGGUGGAUUCCAAAAUAAAUGUGUUACGUGAUAAAUAUGAAUGAAGUUAGUUAUGCGAUACGUUUUAUAGAUAAAGGAUAAAUAGCAUAUUGUUUAAAAAACACAAACGUGUCCGUGCUUUUCUCCUCUGGCAAUACAACAGCUGAUUCAAAAGGGUGCGUGGCAGAUAUCCAAGCUCUUCCGUUUGUAGGAUACACUUGUGCUUCCUCGUCAAAAGGAGGCUUAGACAAGGAGGAGAGGACCGUCUUCCGUUCGCCUACUAACGAACUGAUACACUCCUCGACCACUCAUCGGUUUCCGGGUCACGGAGGAGAGACGACAGAGGAGAGUGGAUGGAAGAGAGAGGACAGAGACGACAGAGAGGAGAGUGGACGGAAGAGAGAGGACAGAGAGAGUUGGGGGGGAUCCCUUCCUUUCCUCACUGUCAGCAGGCUGGUCUGCUCUUCGGCCUGCAGUAAGGUGAACCCUGACCUCUAACUCGUGACUGGGUUACUCCCAGGAGGACUAGGGUGUAGUCAUUAGGGCAGACCGUAUUCACCCCAGGUUUCAAAACAAGCAUUUCUCAUUCGACCAAGUCCAAGUCUAUGACAGUUUUAUAAUCCACCUGAGCCAGUGGUUCAGUCAGACCUCAGCCCCCAGCUCUAUGACCCCAGUCUCUACGAUGGGAACCAGUUUAUAAUCCACCUGAACCAGUGGCUCAGACCUCGGCCCCCAGCUCUAUGACCCCAGUCUCUACGAUGGGAACCAGUUUAUAAUCCACCUGAACCAGUGGUUCAGUCAGACCUCGGCCCCCAGCUCUAUGACCCCAGUCUCUACGAUGGGAACCAGUUUGUAAUCCACCUGAACCAGUGGUUCAGUCAGACCUCGGCCCCCAGCUCUAUGACCCCAGUCUCUACGAUGGGAACCAGUUUAUAAUCCACCUGAACCAGUGGUUCAGUCAGACCUCGGCCCCCAGCUCUAUGACCCCAGUCUCUACGAU